AAUCUUGCAACAAAAUCUAGAUCGCCGGGGGUUUAGAAGUCUCGCUAUCCUCAUCUAGAAAACCAACACGAUUAACAAACGAAGUUCAUAGCACACAAAAAAUCCAUUGAGAGCAAGGAAAAUUAAAAACCUUAUCAUCGAAAAAAAAGAUACUUACACUAAGAUUUAUUUACAAUCAACUCUAUCAAACACCACACAAACGAUCGCACAAAAGACUAAAGCACAUACAAAAAAAAAAUAACGACGGUAAA
rnacentral:lncRNA from 1 species